UUGGUUUCUGUGAUGUGAUUCUGUGAUUUUCAAAGUUUUUCUUUUAAAGUUCCUGCAAAAUAUUAAUUUACCUUUGCAAAAUAAAGGAAAGUAUAUUCUUCAUCUUUCUGUGAAGUUUUUAAAUCUGGGUUUUAAAGAUUUUAAAAAUAUAUUUUGCAGAAAUUGUUCAAUAGUGUUAGCUGAAUAACUGGAAACAUGAAAAACAAUUUGAGAAAGGUAUGUUUAAUUUAAAUUUGUUUCGUUAGGGAAUAAAACUUUCAUCCAAAUGGAUCAGUUAACAUUGUAAUUCUACUGAAAAUUUAAUUUGAAAUUGGACAGCUUCACCCAGCAAAACUGAACUGACAAAACAUCGCUUAUGAAUACCAAUGUGCUUAUCAGAAAAACGUGCCUGUAGUUUUUAGAAAACCCAAUUGUGAAAGUUGUAUUUGAAAUCCAGAAAAGCAUGGUUUUUGACUCUAGAAACAAAGCAAUUUUCUCUUUUGAAGUCAACUUGCACAAAUUCACAAGAUCUUAUUAAACAAAAGCUAUUCAUUUAAAACAAUUUCACAAACGGAAUCCAGCUACUAACUUUAAAACAAACUUUAUAUUCAAAAGACAGUGUUACUUCUAAAAUGUAAAAGAUAAUUCAUCUUUUUUCCUCCUCUAAAAAUGUACCUUAUUAUAUCCAUACAGCAUUCGUCUAAAGGAAUGACAGCAAAGCCAAGUUUCUCCUUACUCAUGCAGUACAUUCCAGCAAGGGAGAAAAUAAUUACUUAAGAGCUUUCUAUGACAAUUGCUGGCAGCCAGACACCCAAACAGCCAUCCCUAUAUAACAGUGUUUGAAUGGUAAGGACUUCACGUCUCAAUGAUCAUGGUCUGGCCCAAUCAGGAGCCAGCCUCCAAACUGCCAGAGCUCAGCGAAUGGUCUGUGUCCCAGCACCGCACAUGACUAAAUUUGCUCCUGUCCAUCAUUUGGGUCAUAUAUAGUUCAAUUCAGUGAAGCAGACAGGGGCUGUAAGGAAAUCUGGAGCUGAUCAAUGCCUUGUCUGGGAGGCUCACAAGCUGCUGAUAUAUGCUAGCAAAAUUCAUGCCUUAACUCUACCUCGGGCCACAGCACAAGCCAGCUGACAACAAUAAUUCCAUUUUUUUUAAAAAAACUUAGUUUCAAUUGUGGGGAAGUCGUCUUCCUUCCUACAGUAAUUGCAACAAUUUUGACAAAGAUCCAACAUUCUGCCUGACGUAAUGCAAGUCGCUCCGAGAGUGGUCUCCCUCUCUGUUGGGAUUUGGACAUCACUGGCAGAGUUGGCAUUUAUUUGCCCCUUCCUAGUCAAUCUAGAGCAGCUUAUACACUUCUUCCAACUGAAGCCUUCAUUUGAAUUCUCACAAUAAAGGAAGCACUGGGACAGAUUUAAAUGGACUUACAUAAAACUCUGAAGCAUCAAAAUAUAAAGUAGGAAGGAUCAAUUUCCAUCAGUUUAAGGGUCAAAAGACCAGAAGGCAGACUUAGUGUACAAGAAUAGAAAAUGCUGGAAAUACUCAGGUCAGGCUGCACCUGUGAGAAAAACAGUCAACAUUUCAGAUUUCUAAGAACUGGUAGAAGAAUUGGAUGGAUGGUAGCAAGCGGGAUGAGGACAUUAAAGAUUUCUUUCCCAGCAAGCUAUACAGAGGUCCAACAGCAAUACCGGUAAUAAUAAAACAGCCUGUGUAAUGAAAAGCAUAUUUCUGAUCUAUGUCUUAAUUUAAAAGUGAACUAGUGCACAUUUCAAUCACAGAAUAAUAUUCCAAAUUGUAUAUUUCAUUUGUCAAAUCAUUUAUAUUGAACAUACCAAAUUGUUUUGCUACUGCAAAUAGAUAAGCUCAAGUGUAAGAAUGAAGAUCAUGAGAAAGCAAGUGAAUGAAUAAAUUAACAUAAUUCUGGAAAAAUAAAAUCUGCUGCUAGUCAGAUUUCUGGCAUUCAUAGCAAGAGGAUUCGAGUACAGGAGCAGGGAGGUACUACUGCAGUUGUACAAGGCCUUGGUGAGACCACACCUGGA